GACGAACGCUGGCGGCGUGCCUAAUACAUGCAAGUAGGACGCAGUUGCGAACGGGUGAGUAACGCGUAGGUAAAUGCAUAUUAGAGGGGGAUAACUAUUGGAAACGAUAGCUAAUACCGCAUACUAGUAGAAGGACCUGCGUUGUAUUAGCUAGUCGUUGGGGUACUGGCCUACCUAGGCGGCGAUACAUAGCCGACGUGAGAGGUGGAUCGGCCAAACUGGGACUGAGACACGGCCCAGACUCCUACGGGAGGCAGCAGGAGGGAAUCUUCGGCAAUGGGGGGAACCCUGACCGAGCAACGCCGCGUGAGUGAAGAAGGUUUUCGGAUCGUAAAGCUCUGUUGUUAAGGAAGCGGUACUUAACCAGAAAGGGACGGCUAACUACGUGCCAGCCGCCGCGGUAAUAC
rnacentral:rRNA from 1 species